GAAAUGCGAUAAGUAAUGUGAAUUGCAGAAUUCAGUGAAUCAUCGAAUCUUUGAACGCACAUUGCGCCCGCUAGUAUUCUGGCGGGCAUGCCUGUUCGAGCGUCAUUUCAACCAUCAAGCCCCCGGCUUGUGUUGGGGACCUGCGGCUGCCCGCAGGCCCUGAAAAACAGUGGCGGGCUCGCUGUCACACCGAGCGUAGUAGCAUACAUUCUCGCUCAGGGCGUGCUGCGGGUUCCGGCCGUUAAACGACCUUCAUAACCCAAGGUUGACCUCGGAUCAGGUAGGAAGACCCGCUGAACUUAAGC
rnacentral:misc_RNA from 1 species